rnacentral:rRNA from 1 species
UACGUAGGGGGCGAGCGUUGUUCGGAAUUACUGGGCGUAAAGGGCGCGUAGGCGGCCCGCUAAGUCGAACGUGAAAUCCCCAGGCUCAACCUGGGAACUGCGUCCGAUACUGGCAGGCUUGAAUCCGGGAGAGGGAUGUGGAAUUCCAGGUGUAGCGGUGAAAUGCGUAGAUAUCUGGAGGAACACCGGUGGCGAAGGCGGCAUCCUGGACCGGUAUUGACGCUGAGGCGCGAAAGCUAGGGGAGCAAACGGG